AAAAUACUACUAUCAAGUGAUAUUUCCACAUGAUUUUCUUAUAUUUUCACACAGUAGGACCCACAUUUAAAACAUGGUUGAGUAGCUGCUGAAACUUAACAAUAAUACCAAAUUCAUUUUUCCAAACUACCCUCACCUAAUACAUAGCAUAUCAUACAUUGAUUACUCCAAUCUCAUUGUUUCACAGAAAACAUUACUUAAAAAAAAAUCCACUCAUAUUACAAUCAUUACAGUAAACAUGUUCACUUCAAAAACAUAUUACACUAAACAUAACAUCUUUUCAUAAACUUUAAAUUCUACCACUGUAGAAUUAUCAAAUUCAUUUUCUUCAAAAGUCCAAACUGGCAUCAUGUAAACUUGCAACAGGUGCAUCAUCAGUCCAAAAUUGGCACCAAAACUGUAGACAUAAAUGAACACAAUAGGAAAAUAAAAACAUUAAAAAUGUGUUUAUUUUUAAGACAUUCAAUGUACAAUAUUACACUUCAACAAUUGCGUAUAUGUCUUCAUGAUCCGUGGUCAUAGAAGACAUUGAAAAAACUAGCAUAUAAAACAUGAUUAAACCAAAGAAGUAUUUGCCCAAAUAGGCAUUUGCCAUAUUAAAACAUGAUAUGUGGUUACAGGCAAGUAUCUGUCAUAUUAAACCAAAGAAAUAUUUGCCCAAAUAAAAAAUACAUUAUUAUUAUUUUGGAAUAACCAAUCUAUCUCAAACAGGAAAAGAUAAAAAAAAAAAAUCAAAUAGAGAAGAAACAACAACAUACUUGAAGCGAUUCAAUCUGAUUUCUAAUGAGAUAAAAAGAUAGUGCAACCGGUUACUUGGUAAGUCCGGGUAUGAAGGAGAUUAUAUUCUUCAACAAAUGCGUCAAAAUUCACGUGAACCUAGAGCAAUGAAUUAUAAGACCUUAUGCUAAAGGUCCAAAUAUCACCAUCAUAGAAUGAAAAAUUUCAAGUGCAUACAACUUCUAUACUUAAAUCUUAAUGAUGCCCAAUACACAUUAGAAACGGAGAAUACUAGAGCACCCAAAAUACAAAAAAAAACACCCACCUCAGAUCUAUCAAAACUAGAAUAAAGAUAGGUAAGUCAAAAGCAAACAAAUUCAAGCAUACCAAAACUCCAAGAAAAUGGUGAGUGAGAUACCUUGAAUGAGAAUGAUGAGUUGUAGAGACAAGAAGAGAAGCUGUCGUUGUCGCCGAAAAUUGCAGCAAUCAAAAUUGGGGGCUUCUUUUUUUUAAAGUAGGACAAUAAUGAGGGAGGAGAGAGGGGAAAGUGCGUAGUGAGCAGAGGAGAUUGACAGAGGAGGCAGCAGCAGGAGAUUGACAGAGGAGGUGAGGGUUAGUGGAUAACUGAGGGUAAAAAUG
rnacentral:lncRNA from 1 species